rnacentral:rRNA from 1 species
GACGAACGCUGGCGGCGUGCUUAACACAUGCAAGUCGAACGGAAAGGCCCUGCUUUUGUGGGGUGCUCGAGUGGCGAACGGGUGAGUAACACGUGAGUAACCUGCCCUUGACUUUGGGAUAACUUCAGGAAACUGGGGCUAAUACCGGAUAGGAGCUCCUGCUGCAUGGUGGGGGUUGGAACGUUUCGGCGGUUGGGGAUGGACUCGCGGCUUAUCGGCUUGUUGGUGGGGUAGUGGCUUACCAAGGCUUUGACGGGUAGCCGGCCUGAGAGGGUGACCGGCCACAUUGGGACUGAGAUACGGCCCAGACUCCUACGGUAGGCAGCAGUGGGGAAUAUUGCACAAUGGGCGGAAGCCUGAUGCAGCAACGCCGCGUGCGGGAUGACGGCCUGCGGGUUGUAAACCGCUUUCGCCUGUGACGAAGCGUGAGUGACGGUAAUGGGUAAAGAAGCACCGGCUAACUACGUG